AACGCACGAGACCUGCGGACCUGCGGAAGGAUCAUUACCACACCAAAAAAAAAUCCUUCCACGUGAACUGUUUUUGUCUUGCUUUGUGUAGAUUGGCAGUGAGUUGACUCCCGUCAUGGGAUGAUAGUUGCGUUGAUUUGCUAAGCGAAGGUCGCUGCUCUUCUUACCGAUAGAAUUUUCUUUUUGGUUUUGAAUUUGAGCUUACGGCUGAUGUACCCCUUUUUUUUAAAUCCAUUUUAA
rnacentral:misc_RNA from 1 species